CAGCCGACCACGGUAGGAUCAGUGACUGGGGUGAAGUCGUAACAAGGUAGCCGUAUCGGAAGGUGCGGCUGGAUUACCUCCUUU
rnacentral:rRNA from 1 species